rnacentral:rRNA from 1 species
UACGUAGGGGGCAAGCGUUGUCCGGAUUUAUUGGGCGUAAAGAGCUCGUAGGUGGUUCGGUAAGUCGGAUGUGAAAUCUCCAGGCUCAACCUGGAGGGGUCAUUCGAUACUGCCGUGACUAGAGGUCGGUAGGGGAGUGUGGAAUUCCUGGUGUAGCGGUGAAAUGCGCAGAUAUCAGGAGGAACACCGGUGGCGAAGGCGGGUCUCUGGGCCGAAAUUGACGCUGAGGAGCGAAAGCGUGGGGAGCAAACAGG